rnacentral:rRNA from 1 species
UACGAAGGGUGCAAGCGUUACUCGGAAUUACUGGGCGUAAAGCGUGCGUAGGCGGUUUGUCGCGUCUGCUGUGAAAACUGGAGGCUCAACCUCCAGCCUGCAGUGGGUACGGGCAAACUAGAGUGCGGUAGGGGAGAUUGGAAUUCCUGGUGUAGCGGUGGAAUGCGUAGAUAUCAGGAGGAAUACCGAUGGCGAAGGCAGGUCUCUGGGCUGACACUGACGCUCAUGCACGAAAGCGUGGGGAGCAAACAGG